GUACCCUUAACUCAGUUGGUUAGAGCAGACGGCUCAUAACCGUCCGGUCGUAGGUUCGAGUCCUACAGGGUACA
rnacentral:tRNA from 1 species